GCUCCGGUGGUCUAGUGGUUAGAGCGUCAGCUUCGGAUUCGGAAGGUCGCGGGUUCGAACCACGGUCGAGAUA